rnacentral:rRNA from 1 species
UACAGAGGAGGCAAGCGUUGUUCGGAAUCACUGGGCUUAAAGCGCGUGUAGGCGGCUCCAUAAGUACUUUGUGAAAUCCCGCGGCUCAACCGCGGAACGGCAGGGUAUACUGCGGAGCUUGAGGCAGGUAGGGGUCACUGGAACUCUUGGUGGAACGGUGAAAUGUGUAGAUAUCAAGAGGAACGCCCGGGGCGAAAGCGGGUGACUGGGCCUGUCCUGACGCUGAGACGCGAAAGCGUGGGGAGCAAACGGG